AUCAGUUUCGUUUGAGCUGCCCGGGAAGUUUGAAAACCAACGAGAACAUGUCGCAACCAAAAAAGGGGUAGUCAGAGGUGUGAACUGGACUGGCCUACAUCCAUGAUCUCCUGAGUCUGGGCAGCGGACUCUCUUCUAACAGACCUCUGGUAUCUCACUAAUCUGUCUACAUGUGACUGUGGCUGCUUCUGAAAUUUCAGAGGAUUCUGGAUGUGGCUGUGGCUGUGCUGCGGUCCAGACAUCAGAUCAUCCUCAAAUUACCCUUGGCCAAGCUUUUGUCUUUUGGCCUACAGGCUAUGAGAAGAGGAUGUCUGCCACCAGCUUCCAACUCACAUGUGGCCUUGAGGGGGUCAUUGGAGCGAUUGAUGGCUGCCACAUCAGGAUUAAGCAGCCACCGGCCAGAGGAGGGGCCUACAGUACAUGAACAGGAAGUCCUACUACUCUGUCCUCCUCCAGGGGAUUGUUGAUGCUGAAGGCCGCUUCAUCAGCGUAUUCACUGGAAUGCCUGGCACAGUGCAUGAUGCCAGAAUGCUGCGGUCCUCUUCAUUUUUCCAAGAAUGGCAGAAGAUGGGGGAGUACCGUCUCCUGGGGGAUAGUGCUUACAUUGGUCAGGAUUUCCCCUUCAUCAUCAGCCCCCGGCAAGUCAUACAGUAGACUAGGCUAAAUCAAAGACUCUACCAAGUUAAAUGAAAGAUGUUUCUACAUACUUUCCUUUUUCUGACUUAUAUUACGUA